rnacentral:rRNA from 1 species
CAGUCGCCGCGGUAAUACAGAGGGUGCGAGCGUUAAUCGGAUUUACUGGGCGUAAAGCGUGCGUAGGCGGCUUUUUAAGUCGGAUGUGAAAUCCCUGAGCUUAACUUAGGAAUUGCAUUCGAUACUGGGAAGCUAGAGUAUGGGAGAGGAUGGUAGAAUUCCAGGUGUAGCGGUGAAAUGCGUAGAGAUCUGGAGGAAUACCGAUGGCGAAGGCAGCCAUCUGGCCUAAUACUGACGCUGAGGUACGAAAGCAUGGGGAGCAAACAGGAUUAGAUACCCCAGUAGUCCCUGUCUCUUACAC